rnacentral:rRNA from 1 species
GUACACUCCUGCGGGAGGCAGCAGUGGGGAAUAUUGGACAAUGGGCGCAAGCCUGAUCCAGCCAUGCCGCGUGAGUGAUGAAGGCCCUAGGGUUGUAAAGCUCUUUCACCGGUGAAGAUAAUGACGGUAACCGGAGAAGAAGCCCCGGCUAACUUCGUGCCAGCAGCCGCGGUAAUACGAAGGGGGCUAGCGUUGUUCGGAUUUACUGGGCGUAAAGCGCACGUAGGCGGACUAUUAAGUCAGGGGUGAAAUCCCGGGGCUCAACCCCGGAACUGCCUUUGAUACUGGUAGUCUUGAGUUCGAGAGAGGUGAGUGGAAUUCCGAGUGCAGAGGUGAAAUUCGUAGAUAUUCGGAGGAACACCAGUGGCGAAGGCGGCUCACUGGCUCGAUACUGACGCUGAGGUGCGAAAGCGUGGGGAGCAAACAGGAUUAGAAACCCUUGUAGUCCCAUG